UGCAAGCAAGUGCCCCCACUAAUUUUAAAAUUUUCAUAUCCAUCCUAUAUAAUACUACAUCAUAGAUUUCCAGCACCAGCACAUACAUAUACACAAUAUUAUAAAUAUGAUGAUAUAGUAUGAUAACUAGAUUGCAUAUUAUAAAUAAUACAUGCACCUCUUCUCUAUGUGUUGUUUCUUUUUUUUAGCUUCAUUUUUCGGUAACAUUACUUCUAGGUGCUGCUAAUUUACACCUACCUAAAUCACUAAGGUGUUAAUUAGCAAGCUACACCCACCUAAAAAUACUAAGGUGUAAGUUAGCAACCUACACCCACUUGAUUAUAUACACUCAUUUUUAUAAAUUUUAUCAAAUUGUUUACAACCACCUUACUAAUUUACACUAUCACUUUCAUCUCAUUAUGAAUAUUGUUUCCUUAAAAGUUUGUCUCUAUCACAUGUUUUAUACUUAAGCAUGUCAUGUUUUUUUGUUUCUUUUUUUAAGGAUCUUACUUAAGAUAGUUAAGAAAUUGCCCUUCUAUUUAAAUUUAAUUAGAAUAGAAACAAAAAGGUGUUUUAGUAAAAUAUAAGUGUGUGUAAUUUACAUGUUAGUGUAUUUAGGUGGGUGUAAAUUAGCAGUCCCCAAUAUUAUAUGAUUUAUUUAUUAUUUGAAAUAAUAAUAACAAUUAUAAUACUUCUUUCUUUCUAAAAGAAAAUGUUCUUGUCAAUAUAUUUUUGUAACAC
rnacentral:lncRNA from 1 species